rnacentral:tRNA from 1 species
GUGGCUGUAGCUCAGUUGGUAGAGCCCUGGCUUGUGGUGCCGGUUGUCGCGGGUUCGAGUCCCGUCAGUCACCCCA